CCUACGGGAGGCAGCAGUGAGGAAUAUUGGUCAAUGGACGAGAGUCUGAACCAGCCAAGUAGCGUGAAGGAUGACUGCUCUAUGGGUUGUAAACUUCUUUUAUAUGGGAAUAAAAUGUUCCACGUGUGGGAUUUUGUAUGUACCAUAUGAAUAAGGAUCGGCUAACUCCGUGCCAGCAGCCGCGGUAAUACGGAGGAUCAGAGCGUUUUCCGGAUUUAUUGGGGUUAAAGGGAGCGUAGGUGGAUUGUGAAGUCAGAUGUGAAAGUUUGCGGCUCAACCGUAAAAUUGCAGUUGAAACUGGCGGUCUUGAGUGCAGGAGAGGUAGGCGGAAUUCGUGGUGUAGCGGUGAAAUGCGUAGAUAUCACGAGGAACACCAGUUGCGAAGGCAGUUCACUGGACUGCAACUGACACUGAGGCUCGAAAGUGUGGGUAGCAAACAGGAUUAGAUACCCGGGUAGUC
rnacentral:rRNA from 1 species